AGGCAGGCUGGCAGACCGCCGACUGUGACGGGAAGGUUCACCCAGUCAGCGCUGGGGAGCACGGAGGGCCAAGGCAGGCUGGCAGACCGCCGACUGUGACGGGAAGGUUCACCCAGUCAGCGCUGGGGAGCACGGAGGGCCAAGGCAGGCUGGCAGACCGCCGACUGUGACGGGAAGGUUCACCCAGUCAGCGCUGGGGAGCACGGAGGGCCAAGGCAGGCUGGCAGACCGCCGACUGUGACGGGAAGGUUCACCCAGUCAGCGCUGGGGAGCACGGAGGGCCAAGGCAGGCUGGCAGACCGCCGACUGUGACGGGAAGGUUCACCCAGUCAGCGCUGGGGAGCACGGAGGGCCAAGGCAGGCUGGCAGACCGCCGACUGUGACGGGA